UACGGAGGGGGCUAGCGUUGUUCGGAAUUACUGGGCGUAAAGCGCACGUAGGCGGCUUUGCAAGUUAGAGGUGAAAGCCCGGGGCUCAACUCCGGAAUUGCCUUUAAAACUGCAUCGCUAGAAUUGUGGAGAGGUAAGUGGAAUUCCGAGUGUAGAGGUGAAAUUCGUAGAUAUUCGGAAGAACACCAGUGGCGAAGGCGACUUACUGGACACAUAUUGACGCUGAGGCUCGAAAGCAUGGGGAGCAAACAGG
rnacentral:rRNA from 1 species